AUUUCACUUUCGCCUUUCGGCUCCCACUUAUACUACACCUCUCAAGUCAUUUCACAAAGUCGGACUAGAGUCAAGCUCAACAGGGUCUUCUUACCCCGCUGAUUCUGCCAAGCCCGUUCCCUUGGUUGUGAUUCCCACUGUCCCUGUCUACUAUCCAGCGAAACCACAACCAAGGGAACGGGUUUGGCAGAAUCAGCGGGGUAAGAAGACCCUGUUGAGCUUGACUCUAGUCCGACUUUGUGAAAUGACUUGAGAGGUGUAGUAUAAGUGGGAGCCGAAAGGCGAAAGUGAAAUACCACUACUUUUAACGUUAUUUUACUUAUUCCGUGAAUCGGAA